UCUAAUAUGACAGAUUAUAUGUAAUGGAUUUAAACCCCACUUAUAAAGGUUUAUCCUUUUUUUAGAA
rnacentral:tRNA from 1 species